UUAAGGGCACACGGUGGAUGCCUUGGCAUUAAGAGCCGAUGAAGGACGUGUGAAUCUGCGAUAAGCCUCGGGGAGCCGAUAACUGGGCUGUGAUCCGAGGAUUUCCGAAUGGGGAAACCUGGCUCAUCUUCAUGGUGAGUUACCGCCAGCUGAAUGUAUAGGCUGGUUGGGGGGAACGCGGGGAAGUGAAACAUCUCAGUACCCGCAGGAAGAGAAAAUAAAGUAAUGAUUCUGUGAGUAGUGGCGAGCGAAAGCGGAAGAGACUAAACCUGUGGUGUGUGAUAGCGGUUAGGCGUUGCAUCAUGGGGGUUGUGGGAGUCACAGUGGCAGUUCUAACUGGCUGCCGGCAUGAUGUUCAGGAUGGUAGGUGAACGACUUGGAAUGGUCGGCCGUAGAGGGUGAGAGUCCCGUAAUCGAAAUUGUUCUGUCCGUGGUGUGGCCACCCGAGUAGCACGGGGCUCGUGGAAUCUCGUGUGAAUCUGCCAGGACCACCUGGUAAGUCUAAAUACUUCUUAGUGACCGAUAGUGAAUCAGUACCGUGAGGGAAUGGUGAAAAGUACCCCGGGAGGGGAGUGAAAUAGUACCUGAAACCGUGUGCUUACAAGCCGUUGGAGCCUUUUGGGGUGACAGCGUGCCUUUUGAAGAAUGAGCCUGCGAGUUAGUGUUAUGUCGCGAGGUUAACCCGUGUGGGGUAUCCGUAGCGAAAGCGAGUCUGAAUAGGGCGUUUGAGUGGCAUGACCUAGACCCGAAGCGGAGUGAUCUAUCCAUGGCCAGGUUGAAGCGACGGUAAGACGUCGUGGAGGACCGAACCCACUUCAGUUGAAAAUGGAGGGGAUGAGCUGUGGAUAGGGGUGAAAGGCCAAUCAAACUCUGUGAUAGCUGGUUCUCCCCGAAAUGCAUUUAGGUGCAGCGUUACGUGUUUCUUGCCGGAGGUAGAGCUACUGGAUGGCCGAUGGGCCUUCACGGGUUACUGACGUCAGCUAAACUCCGAAUGCCGGUAAGUGAGAGCGUAGCAGUGAGACAGUGGGGGAUAAGCUUCAUUGUCGAGAGGGAAACAGCCCAGACCACCAACUAAGGCCCCUAAGCGUGUGCUAAGUGGGAAAGGAUGUGGAGUUGCUUAGACAACCAGGAGGUUGGCUUAGAAGCAGCCAUCCUUGAAAGAGUGCGUAACAGCUCACUGGUCAAGUGAUUCUGCGCCGAUAAUGUAGCGGGGCUCAAGUACACCGCCGAAGUUGUGGCAAUGACCCUUUGGGGUUGUUGGGUAGGGGAGCGUCGUGUGGCCGUUGAAGCUGCGGUGUAAACCAGUGGUGGAGGCUAUGCGCCGGAUGAUCAAGGGUUCCAGGGUCAAGUUAAUCUGCCCUGGGUUAGUCGGGGCCUAAGGCGAGGCCGACAGGCGUAGUCGAUGGAUAACGGGUUGAUAUUCCCGUACCGGUGAAGAACCGCCCAUACUGAUAUUGUGAUGCUAACCAUGCGAAGCAUGAUGUGCAGGCUUUUGUUUGUGUGUUGUGUGGGUUGUGGGACCCGAUCUUUGGAGGUAAACGUGUUAACAGGUGUGACGCAGGAAGGUAGCCAAGCCACGCGAUGGUUGUCGUGGUCUAAGCGUGUAGGGUUGUCGGUUGUUAAAUGCGCCGGCUGUGUGCCUGAGACGUGAUGGGACCCCGUUUUUGGGGGAUUUGGUGAUCCUAUGCUGCCGAGAAAAGCAUCGGCGUGAGGUUUUAGCCGCCCGUACCCUAAACCGACACAGGUGAUCAGGUAGAGAAUACUAAGGCGAUCGAGAGAAUCAUGGUUAAGGAACUCGGCAAAAUGCCCCCGUAACUUCGGGAGAAGGGGGACCUUGAGCGUGAUGGGCACUUGCUGCCUGGAGCGUGUAUGGGUCGCAGAGACCAGGGGGAAGCGACUGUUUAUCAAAAACACAGGUCCGUGCGAAGUCGUAAGACGAUGUAUACGGACUGACUCCUGCCCGGUGCUGGAAGGUUAAGAGGAUUGGUUAGCUCUGUGGAGUCGUUGUUGAAAUACCACUCUGGUCAAUCUGGAUGUCUAACUUCGGGCCAUGAUCUGGUUCAGGGACAGUGCCUGAUGGGUAGUUUAACUGGGGCGGUUGCCUCCUAAAGUGUAACGGAGGCGCCCAAAGGUUCCCUCAGCCUGGUUGGCAAUCAGGUGUUGAGUGUAAGUGCACAAGGGAGCUUGACUGUGAGACUGGCAGGUCGAGCAGGGACGAAAGUCGGGACUAGUGAUCCGGCGGUACGUUGUGGAACGGCCGUCGCUCAACGGAUAAAAGGUACCUCGGGGAUAACAGGCUGAUCUUGCCCAAGAGUCCAUAUCGACGGCAUGGUUUGGCACCUCGAUGUCGGCUCGUCGCAUCCUGGGGCUGGAGUCGGUCCCAAGGGUUGGGCUGUUCGCCCAUUAAAGCGGUACGCGAGCUGGGUUCAGAACGUCGUGAGACAGUUCGGUCCCUAUCCGCUGCGCGCGUUGGAAAUUUGAGAAAGGCUGUCCUUAGUACGAGAGGACCGGGACGGACGAACCUCUGGUAUGUCAGUUGUACCGCCAGGUGCAUGGCUGAUUGGCUACGUUCGGGAGGGAUAACCGCUGAA
rnacentral:rRNA from 1 species